rnacentral:rRNA from 1 species
AGGUGAACCUGCGGAAGGAUCAUUGUCGAAAUCGAACGGAAGAACGACCCGCGAAUCGUCACCGCGUACUAGAGAGACCUCGUGGGCACCCAACGCUCACGCGGNUCGCGUCGCGUCGGCGCGGGUGUACUAGGGACCCGCGUCGUACCGGCGAACUUACAACUUCAGCACGGAUCGUGCCAAGGAGCAGCAUUUUGAGAAUCGUCGUCCCACGGCCCGAUCGUCCUCGACGCGGGACGGGGGAUGGACGCAGUCUCUGAUAAAGUCGAAACGACUCUCGGCAACGGAUAUCUCGGCUCUUGCAUCGAUGAAGAACGUAGCGAAAUGCGAUACUUGGUGUGAAUUGCAGAAUCCCGCGAACCAUCAAUUCUUUGAACGCAAGUUGCGCCCGAAGCCAUUCGGCCGAGGGCACGCCUGCCUGGGUGUCGUGAAUCCCCUUGCCCCUAGGCACCCGCACGAGCAUCGGCGGGGAUUAUAUAUGCGAGGGCGCAGAAUGUGGUCUCCCGUGGGAUCGGCAUGCGCGGCAUGCCGAGGCGCGGUUGGCCGAAAAUCGAGCAUGGCGGUGACGGGCACCACGGCGUUGGGUGGGAUCGAACGAGAUUGGCCGCGUCGUGGUCUCGGCAUGCUGCGGGCUCCGGACUUUGACAAUCCCCGAGUGCGAUCCCAGGUCAGGCGGGGCUACCCGCUGAGUUUAAG